CGGAGGUGGCAAGCGUUACUCGGAAUUAUUGGGUGUAAAGGGCAAGUAGGUGGCUUUGUAAGUGAGAGGUGAAAUACUCCGGCUCAAUCGGAGAACUGCCUUUCAUACUGCAUUGCUUGAGGAUGGUAGGGGUAAGGGAAUUCCCGGUGUAAGGGUGAAAUCUGUAGAUAUCGGGAAGAACACCAGCGGCGAAGGCGCUUACCUGGACCAUUCCUGACACUGAAUUGCGAAAGCUAGGGGAGCAAACAGAAUUAGAUACUCUGGUAGUCCUAGCCGUAAACGAUGAGCACUAGGUGUUGGCUCCGUUAGGAGUCAGUGCCGCAGCUAACGCAUUAAGUGCUCCACCUGAGGACUACGGUCGCAAGGCUA
rnacentral:rRNA from 1 species